rnacentral:rRNA from 1 species
CUAUUGAAGGUAUAAGAAGUCAGGCCUGCCCACUGAUUAAGCUUUUAAGGGCCGCGGUAUUAUGACCGUGCAAAGGUAGCAUAAUCAUUAGGUUUUUAAAUGGAAUCUCGUAUGAAUGGUCAGACAAAGGAAAAGCUGUCUUUAUUUUAAAGUUUGAAUUUUACUUUUAAGUGAGAAGGCUUAAAUUUAUUAGAGGGACGAUAAGACCCUAUAAAGCUUUACAUAGAAAUUAUAUUUAAUUAAAUUUUAAAUAAAAAUUUAAUAUGAUAUAUUGUUUUAUUGGGGAGAUAGAAGUAUAAAUGAUGUUAACUGCUUAAAUGGAAAACAUUUAUUUAUGAAUUAUAAUAAUUUUAAAAGAUCUUAUAGAUGAUAUAGAAAAAAGAUUAAGUUACUUUAGGGAUAACAGUGUAAUUUUUUUUGAGAGUUCAUAUUGAAAAAAAAGUUUGCAACCUCGAUGUUGAAUUAAAAUAUCUAUAUAAUGUAGUUGUUAUAUAAGAAGGUCUGUUCGACCUUU